CAACCUCCGCAGGUUGGCUACUGGGCCCCAGGCAUCUCUGGGCGAGUACCUCUUUGAGCGGCUCACUCUCAAGCAUGACUAGGAGGCCUCUGGUUCC
ensembl:miRNA